rnacentral:tRNA from 1 species
GGCCGAGUGUGUAGUUGGUUAUCACGUUUCGUUAACACCGAAAAGUCCUGAGUUCGAGUCUCAGCUUGGUCA